UCAGCAUAAUUCCCUUGCUGCCAUCUUGGAGAAAUUCUUUAAAAAAAUGCAAGAAGUGAAAGCGUUGGGAGUGAAGAGGAACAGAAACCUCUCAUCAGGCGGACACUGAAGAGUUAAAACUGCCAUUACCAAGUUAAUAGCCCUGCUCCUGUGAUAUCAACUGCAUUAUGGCAAAAUGGUCUCGUCCGCCUUGUUUCCUCACAUCUUUACUCCCCAGCUGCUCCGUCUCCCUCCCGAUCCAGGAAGUGUCUGUAUAAUCAUCGGUCUCUUCUCUGACCAUCUUAAAACGCUCGCAGCCAGCGGGGUGUGAAGAGGAUUUGUGAUUGCCUGUUAAACCUCGUCACCGCAGGCUGCUGAGCUCAAUGCACGGAAGCCACAUAAAAGCCGCUCUCAAAUUAGAACUACCAUUUCACACUCAUUUAAGGACAGGAUACAUUUAAAGUCGACGGCAGAGUUCUCUCAAAAAAAAAAUAAAAAC